rnacentral:rRNA from 1 species
UACGUAGGGUGCAAGCGUUGUCCGGAAUUAUUGGGCGUAAAGAGCUCGUAGGCGGUCUGUCGCGUCUGCUGUGAAAACUCGGGGCUUAACCCCGGGCCUGCAGUGGGUACGGGCAGACUAGAGUGCGGUAGGGGAGACUGGAAUUCCUGGUGUAGCGGUGAAAUGCGUAGAUAUCAGGAGGAACACCGGCGGCGAAGGCGGCCCUCUGGAUCGUUGCUGACGCUGAGACGCGAAAGCGUGGGGAGCAAACAGG